rnacentral:rRNA from 1 species
AUUGAACGCUGGCGGCAGGCCUAACACAUGCAAGUCGAGCGAGCGGCGGACGGGUGAGUAAUUUCUGGGAAACUGCCUGAUGGAGGGGGAUAACUACUGGAAACGGUAGCUAAUACCGCAUACCAUAAGUUGUGCACAGAUGUGAUUAGCUAGUAGGUGGGGUAACGGCUCACCUAGGCGACGAUCCCUAGCUGGUCUGAGAGGAUGACCAGCCACACGGGAACUGAGACACGGUCCAUACGCCUACGGGAGGCAGCAGUGGGGAAUAUUGCACAAGGGGCGCAAGCCUGAUGCAGCCAUGCCGCGUGUGUGAAGAAGGCCUUCGGGUUGUAAAGCACUUUCAGCGGGGAGGCGUUACCCGCAGAAGAAGCACCGGCUAACUCCGUGCCAGCAGCCGCGGUAAUAC